rnacentral:misc_RNA from 1 species
AGCUUUUGUUUAGGAUUGAGGGUAUUGUGUUCUUUGAAGCUUUCUUCCAGGAAAGCUGAUUGCUCCUUAGAAAGUCUGAGUUUCUUCCUAGUCAAUCCGUUCUCUUCAUCAUCACUUGCUCUUGAACUCGCUCUCUCGGCUUCAAUAGCCUCCAUAUCUCUUUUAUUACAUCUACCACCUCCACUGCUCCUAAUCCCAAAAUCCAUCUGAAAUGACGACAAAGCACCAUUCGGCGAUGACAGCACUGCCCCUUUUUCUGCCCCCUCUGCUGACAUCCAGUUCACAUCAAACCUCCUACCUAAUCCAUCUGUGGAAGCAGCUUCACCAUUAUUAUGUUCAUAAUGAACUUCUGUUGUUUUUAGAUCAUUUCUGCUUUUUGUCUUCAGAACACCUUCCACCCUUUUCAGUGCCAUGUCCAAGCAAUUGUCAACUAUAUUUUGGCUCUCGUUGACUGAUACACCUUUAGUAAUGACAUUCAAAGCUUUGCGCAUAAGCAAAUGAACUGCUUGUUGCCUUUUGUCAGCCAUCUCUUGUCCAUAGAGAUCUGCCACGACACCAUCUUUAGCAGAUUUUGUCCACCUCUUUAAUAUGUAUUGGGGUGGUAUAUGAAUGACGUUUCUUGCAUUGAGAACCUUUAAGGUGUGAGCACAUAAAACGCCAACUGAUUCAUAUUUCUUGCAACUACAAACAAUGCUAGAAUUCACACAAUUGUAUUCCACAGUGCUUUUCUUCAGGCCUACCUCUGUCAAUUGGAAUAUAGAAACUGGUCCAUUAGAGGAAAUUUCUCUUAAUGCCACUGACAAAACUUUAUGCAACUCUUUCUGGAAGGCAGUAAACACUGUAUGAGUGUAUAUACCGGCUGCGUGUUUCUCAACCAGACCAUAAUCAAGAGUCAUCUCUGGUACACUUUCAUUGCAAUGAAAAUCUUCAUAUAAUUCUUCCCUACGUUGUUGUUCUGCUGCUUUAAAAUAUUGCUGAACAAACAUCUGUAGAGUUAUGGUUUCACCCAUUAAAUUUUGAAAAAUACUCUUGAUGUUAUCUGAGCAGCGAAUGCCGGCACAAAAACUUUCCUUGUUGAAUAUAUAAGCCCA